AAAAGCUACUUGUUUUCCUAUUGCAAAAAUGGCUGCCAAAUUAUCUGUUGGUUAUUCUUUGGAUCAGAUUCCUAAUGAUAAUUCUAACACUAAUUUAUAUGGUAUAGAUACCCAGGUUUGCAUUUGAGAAAUUCCCAGGAUCUCAACCGGUGUUGACAACCCAGAUGAAAUCUGUUCGUGAAUCCAUGGCAGUAGGGUGCACGUUUCAASAAUCUUUUCAAAGGCAGUCAGAUCACUCGAGUGUGGCUUCUCUGGUUGGGGUUGUGCACCAAUCAAGGAACUGGACUGGGAUUGGGACAAGUUGAAAUACAGGUGCAAUUUUCUUGCAGUGAAUGUAAAAUACACUUGACUUAUGUCUUCCAUGCAGCUUAUAUUACAUUGUAAAGGAGGAUAUCCAAGACCUGGAUAUAGGCAGCAGGCUUAAUCACGCUUUGCUCCAUCCUUAGUGGUAUGUUGCUACAUUCAAGUAGAGGAAUGACUUCUAUGGUGCCACUAAAACAUUAAGGUUUCAGUUUAUCGAUGGUUACCUCCUUCCUAUUCAUUUUCUUUAAAACUUUUUUGACCAUGGAGACAUUUCUACAAAAGGUGGUCAAGGAGUUGUAUAUUAAAAAAACCUUACCUUUCUUGCCGUAGCUUUUUGGUGCUCAAGGAGUUGUACUCGCCUAUGUCUGUGUGUGUGUGUUAGGUUAUUGGAGACUUGCACACCUUUCAGUCUUUAUAUUUUUACCUUUCA